AUUGAACGCUGGCGGCAUGCCUUACACAUGCAAGUCGAACGGCAGCACGGGUGCUUGCACCUGGUGGCGGGUGGCGAACGGGUGAGUAAUACAUCGGAACGUACCUUAUCGUGGGGGAUAACGCAGCGAAAGCUGUGCUAAUACUGCAUACGCCCUGAGGGGGAAAGCGGGGGAUCGCAAGACCUCGCGCGAUUAGAGCGGCCGAUGCCUGAUUAGCUUGUUGGCGGGGUAAAAGCCCACCAAGGCGACGAUCAGUAGCUGGUCUGAGAGGACGAUCAGCCACACUGGGACUGAGACACGGCCCAGACUCCUACGGGAGGCAGCAGUGGGGAAUUUUGGACAAUGGGGGGCAACCCUGAUCCAGCAAUGCCGCGUGAGUGAAGAAGGCCUUCGGGUUGUAAAGCUCUUUUGUCAGGGAAGAAACACCGGCUCUAACACAGUCUGGGAAUGACGGUACCUGAAGAAUAAGCACCGGCUAACUACGUGCCAGCAGCCGCCGUAA
rnacentral:rRNA from 1 species